GCCUCUCGUAUACUCUCCUCUCUCUCUCUCGGUUCGUCGUCGGAGAAAAGGAUAAGAUCACAUUGCCACGAGCAUUAAGUGGAGUCAUCAGCUGCGAAAGAGGGCGAUCGGUUCUCGAGGAUUUUUACGUCGGAAAAUGACGUCACCAGCGGCGGCGCUCUCGUGGAGUUCCUCUUCGCGGCUCUACAGUUUCGGCGGUUGCUCGAACGAGGCCUCUGAGUCGUCCGACAAGAGGUCGUUGGCCAUGGUUGUCGUUGCGCAGAAGAAGGCCAACAAAACUCGCAAGAUAAUACUGAAGGAGGACAUGGAGGACCUGGGGAAGAAAGGUCAGCUUCUGGAUGUGAAGGCUGGGUUCUACAGGAACUAUCUUCUUCCCAUGGGGAAGGCCCAGAUUGUCACUCCCUUGUUGCUCAAGGAGAUGAGAAUGGAAGAAGAAAGAAUUGAAGCUGAGAAGAAGAGGGUAAAAGAAGAAGCGCAGCAACUUGCUUUAAUGUUUGAAACUGUUGGAGCAUUCAAGGUGAAGCGAAAAGGUGGAAAAGGAAAACAAAUUUUUGGAAGCGUGACUGCUCAAGAUCUCGUAGAUAUUAUAAAGGCGCAGCUCCAGAGGGAAGUGGACAAACGAAUUGUUGUUCUUCCAGAAAUCCGGGAAACGGGAGAAUAUAUCGCAGAGCUGAAGCUUCAUCCGGAAGUGACCGCUCGAGUGAGGUUGAACGUGUUUGCCAACUGAGUAUAAGAACCCUGUUGAACCAUUUUGAGUAAUCAACUUCUAGAUGCAAUUCGCCCUGACACAUGGUGCAACUCGUGGAGUUAAAACAGAAGAUCAUAUCCGUUCGCAGCAGCCCCAUGCUCUUCAUUUCUCCUUGCAUCGUCUCAUCAAUGUGUUUGGUAGAUUUUGUUAGCUGUGGAUUGAGAUGGGUGGUUGUUUCCACCUCUCACCCUUAUAUCGGAUGCUUUGGCGCUCCUCAUUU